rnacentral:hammerhead_ribozyme from 1 species
ACACAGGUGAAGAGUCGCAAAUAGAACGAAACAUAUGUCGUGUAU